CCAUAUAAACAGGGCAGCUUGGCUGCUAGAGGUGAAGGCAACAACAAUGUCUGGCUGGAGGGUUGCUGAUAUCAUCUGGAGGAAAAGAAGAGAUUACUAAGCACCCCAAAAUGUUUUCUGUUCCCUAACCCACACCUGGAUCUUAGUCAUACCAGGCAGAACCUACAGAAACAGAGAGGAAAAAAUAUUCUUUUAUCAUCUCAACCACUGUGUAAACAAGGUGUGAAAGCUGGAAAUAAAUUAAAGCUUUGGACAUUCACCAAAAUGCCUUUGGAAACAAAUGCCUUAGAAACUACCAGAUAUUAAAGAAGAUGGAAAUAUUUGGGUGAUGUAUUCAGAAGGAAGCUCCAUGUCUGUGAUAGCAUGAAUGCAACUGGCACCUUGAGGAAGACACAACUGGAAGAAUCCCUUCCUUAAAUAUCACCCAGAUUAAAUGUAGGGAACUUGAAAGAUGGACAGACAGAGAUAGAAGUCUUGGUCAUGCCCAAAGUGAUAUCAGAUGGUAGGGGAAGAAGGAGUCAGCUUCAGAGACUUAACAAAUAGUCUUUAAAACAUGAACUGAAAAAAAGAUUUGACAGUGACCCUUAGGACAUUCAGUGUCAAUUUGCAGGCAGUAGCUGUGUAAAGGUGUUGAGUUUCAUUUCUUUGAAUGAAGUAGCAAGCACUGACACUAGACAUCUACUAUCCACCAAUGCAUACAGUACUAUGUGAUAUGUAAAAUUAAAUGUCAAAAGAUCGGUUAAAUAACUGACAGACUUACCUCUACUUGAAUCAUUGAGGAGCAAUAUUUAAUAUUUUAAUUUCACAUUAAUAUAUUAAUAUAAUAUAAUUAUUAAAAUAUACUAUUACUAUGCAUAAAACAUUGUGUCAAUGUAUUGUUGCUUUAUUACCUUGUAAAAUAAGAAAUAAAAUGUGCUAGAAGUCUGUAUUUACUUUGACUGCAAGCUUAGUAAACUAAUUUUUCAAGCUUCACUCUAAUGGUUUACCAUGUUACUGGAAGCUCUCAAUUAAGUUACAAUAAAGUUGUUAUGCACAGUUAAGUGCCCAUUAUUUCUUUAUCUUACCUAUAGUAAUAUUUUAUGUCAGAAAUUAAAAAUUCUAAACAUAAUAAGAUUCAUGUAUCUGUUACUCAUCUGUCUGUGGCCUCACAGCACUAUCAGAGUUCCUGACUGUUAUUUAGUGGCCAAGCUUAUGACUAAUUUAUGAAAAUGCUUUUGGGAUACAUAAAGGCUGCAAGACUCUACCUGUCAGAAUGAUGUAAGCAAUAUAUAAAUAAAAAACAAGGAAAAACAAUAAACUUACCAUUA